rnacentral:rRNA from 1 species
AGGUGGUGCAUGGCUGUCGUCAGCUCGUGUCGUGAGAUGUUGGGUUAAGUCCCGCAACGAGCGCAACCCUUGUCUUAUGUUGCCAGCACGUAAUGGUGGGGACUCGUAAGAGACUGCCGGGGUCAACUCGGAGGAAGGUGGGGACGACGUCAAGUCAUCAUGCCCCUUAUGUCCAGGGCUUCACACAUGCUACAAUGGCCAGUACAGAGGGCUGCGAGACCGUGAGGUGGAGCGAAUCCCUUAAAGCUGGUCUCAGUUCGGAUCGGGGUCUGCAACUCGACCCCGUGAAGUCGGAGUCGCUAGUAAUCGCAGAUCAGCAACGCUGCGGUGAAUACGUUCCCGGGCCUU